AAUAUUAUAGUAUAUAAGUACAUUUGAUUUCCAAUUAAAUAGAAGAAAUAUAU
rnacentral:tRNA from 1 species